rnacentral:piRNA from 1 species
UUUUCUACGGUUUCUUUGGCC